rnacentral:rRNA from 1 species
CCUACGGGAGGCAGCAGUGAGGAAUAUUGGUCAAUGGACGAGAGUCUGAACCAGCCAAGUAGCGUGAAGGAAGACUGCCCUAUGGGUUGUAAACUUCUUUUAUAAAGGAAUAAAACGAGGCACGUGUGCGUGUUUGCAUGUACUUUAUGAAUAAGGAUCGGCUAACUCCGUGCCAGCAGCCGCGGUAAUACGGAGGAUCCGAGCGUUAUCCGGAUUGAUUGGGUGUAAAGGGAGCGUAGAUGGGUUGUUAAGUCAGUUGUGAAAGUUUGCGGCUCAACCGUAAAAUUGCAAUUGAUACUGGUAGUCUUGAGUAAAGUAGAGGUAGGCGGAAUUCGUGGUGUAGCGGUGAAAUGCUUAGAUAUCACGAAGAACCCCGAUUGCGAAGGCAGCUUACUAAGCUGUGACUGACAUUGAUGCUCGAAAGUGUGGGUAUCAAACAGGAUUAGAUACCCUUGUAGUC